ensembl:ncRNA lncRNA:CR44575 long non-coding RNA:CR44575
AUUUUAUCGCAUUUUAUAACCCUAAUUAUAAAUACACAUUCAGAAUGAAUCAAAACCGCACUUUGAAAGAAACACUAAUUAUGAGCAAAAAUGCCAGAAGCCGUUGAGUUUAGUUUGUGAAAAUCAAUUAAUUAAUUUGUGGAAAGUUGAAUUGCUUCUUCCCAGGACAGCAAUAGACUGAAUUAUGGCCUGCAACUCCGCAGAGGAAAAAAGUUCAAAUUGUUUGCGACAAAUGAAAAUUUAUGACUUGGAUUUUAGAGCAAGGCUCAGUAUAUAUGACAAAAUCCGCAAAGUGACUUGUGGCAAACAAUUAAAUCCUUUUCAACUUGCUCAACUUUGACAUCUGAGCAUUGACUUAUCGACGGAGGCCACCAUUAAGGAAUAAUUGAAACAAAUGAGACAGAGAAUUGCACUUUGAACUAGAUAUUUCGGUGUAGCUAAUUGGCAGGAUAAUCGCAUAUCAAACGUAGCAUACUUUUCAGGGCAAAUUUAAAAGCAACUUAAGAACAUGACAC